rnacentral:rRNA from 1 species
GACGAACGCUGGCGGCGUGCUUAACACAUGCAAGUCGAGCGGUAAGGCCCUUUCGGGGGUACACGAGCGGCGAACGGGUGAGUAACACGUGGGUGACCUGCCCUCAGCUCUGGGAUAAGCCUGGGAAACCGGGUCUAAUACCGGAUAUGACUCCAUGACGCAUGUUGUGGGGUGGAAAGCCUUGUGCGGCUGAGGAUGGGCCCGCGGCCUAUCAGCUUGUUGGUGGGGUGANGGCCUACCAAGGCGACGACGGGUAGCCGGCCUGAGAGGGCGACCGGCCACACUGGGACUGAGACACGGCCCAGACUCCUACGGGAGGCAGCAGUGGGGAAC